rnacentral:rRNA from 1 species
GACGAACGCUGGCGGCGUGCUUAACACAUGCAAGUCGAACGGAAAGGCCCUGCUUGCCGGGUACUCGAGUGGCGAACGGGUGAGUAACACGUGGGUGAUCUGCCCUGCACUUCGGGAUAAGCCUGGGAAACUGGGUCUAAUACCGGAUAGGAGCCAUUUUUAGUGUGAUGGUUGGAAAGUUUUUUCGGUGUAGGAUGAGCUCGCGGCCUAUCAGCUUGUUGGUGGGGUAAUGGCCUACCAAGGCGGCGACGGGUAGCCGGCCUGAGAGGGUGGACGGCCACAUUGGGACUGAGAUACGGCCCAGACGCCUACGGGAGGCAGCAGGGGGGAAUAUUGCACAAUGGGCGCAAGCCUGAUGCAGCGACGCCGCGGGGGGGAUGACGGCCUUCGGGUUGUAAACUCCUUUCGCUAGGGACGAAGCUUUUUGUGACGGUACCUAGAUAAGAAGCACCGGCUAACUACGUG